rnacentral:tRNA from 1 species
GUGGGGGUGGCCCAGCCUGGUAAGGCGAUAGACUGCUAAUCUAUUGUCCGCAAGGACCCGCGAGUUCGAAUCUCGCCCCUCACGCCA